GAUGAAGAACGCAGCAAAGUGCGAUAACUAGUGUGAAUUGCAUAUUCAGUGAAUCAUCGAGUCUUUGAACGCAUCUUGCGCUCAUUGGUAUUCCAAUGAGCACGCCUGUUUCAGUAUCAAAAACACCCCACAUUUUAAUAUUUAGUUAGAGUGGAUAUGAGUUUUUUUUUUACGGCCAUUGGCUGUUGACUCUAAAUAUAUUAGGCCUGAAAUUUAGUCUUUUUUUUUUUUCUGCUUGCCUGAACUUUUUUUUUAAUAUAAAGGAAAAGCUCUUGCCAAACUUUAAAAAAAGUCCUGCUUUGGGGGGGGCCACUCAAAUAAAACAUUUUUAAAUUUGAUCUGAAAUCAGGCGGGAUUACCCGCUGAACUUAAGCAUAUCAAUAAGCGGAGGA
rnacentral:misc_RNA from 1 species